UAGGGAAUAUUAGUAAUGGGCGAAAGCCUGAACUAGCAACACCGCGUGUGCGAAGAAGGCCUUCGGGUUGUAAAGCACUUUUUGAGAGGAUGAGGAAGGACGGUACUUCCAGAAUAAGUCUCGGCUAACUACGUGCCAGCAGCCGCGGUAACACGUAGGAGGCGAACGUUAUCCGGAUUUACUGGGCGUAAAGCGCGUGUAGGUGGUUCUGUAAGUAGGGCGUGAAAGCUCCUGGCUCAACUGGGAGAGGCCGUUCUAAACUACAGAACUAGAGGAUGGUAGAGGGAGGUGGAAUUCCAGGUGUAGCGGUGGAAUGCGCAGAUAUCUGGAGGAACACCAGUGGCGAAGGCGGCCUCCUGGACCAUUCCUGACACUCAGACGCGAAAGCUAGGGUAGCAAACG
rnacentral:rRNA from 1 species